ensembl:processed_transcript AV026068 expressed sequence AV026068
GCCGAGGUCCUCUUCUAGGAUUGGUUGUCCACUCAUAACCAUAAGAUAAUUAAAACGGGGGGGGGGCAGGGUAAAAAAAAACCCUUUUAUCAGCCAUAGGUUAAUGCAAGUGUUUAACAGAUGCUUCGCUAUUAAAAUAUUUCCCCCCAAUACUGAAGAAUCUUAAACCAGCAACCCUAACAGAGAUUGCGAAGAUUUUCAAAGUGGGGCACCUCGAUUUCUCGAAUCUGUGGUGUGGCGAAUAUCCGUGUUCCUCCUGCUUAACUAGCCUGUUUGAAGGCACAGUUCAUUCUCGAGCAAUUCGUCACCUCCUGGGGGUCUUCUCUUCCCGUCUACAGGAGAGUGUGACUUCAGAAAGAACUUCGGAUUGGCCAAGGCAGGUCUGAUUCUAUUUAUUCUAAAGACAGAGUUGGAGAUGGGCUACCAUUGGUGUUGAUUGAGAUGACAAGCAGUCACCUGAGCCCAUACAGCUGGGUUCACAGAUGUGGCUAGUCUUGCUAGCCAGCUCGCACUGUGGACAUUCUAGGGAACUGACUGCAGUCCUCAUGCUUGGAGUCAAACACUUUAACCACUGCACACGUUUAUGUAGUAGGAUUGACAUAUGAGAAUCAGAGAAAUGAAUGAAAGAUUAGAGUGGGAGAAAGUGCUUGCUGCCAAGCUUGAUGACCUAAAUUGAAUACCUGGAACCUACACGACAGAAAGAGAGAGCUGACUGCUGAAAGAUGUCCUCAGAUCUUCACAUGUGCACAGUGGCACCUAUCCAACCAUGCACAUAGUAUAUUAAAAAUUAUUUUUUAAAAAA